UAGAGUUUGAUCCUGGCUCAGAACGAACGCUGGCGGCAGGCCUAACACAUGCAAGUCGAGCGAAGCCUUCGGGCUUAGCGGCGGACGGGUGAGUAACGCGUGGGAACGUGCCCUUUGCUACGGAAUAGCCCCGGGAAACUGGGAGUAAUACCGUAUGUGCCCUUCGGGGGAAAGAUUUAUCGGCAAAGGAUCGGCCCGCGUUGGAUUAGGUAGUUGGUGGGGUAAUGGCCUACCAAGCCGACGAUCCAUAGCUGGUUUGAGAGGAUGAUCAGCCACACUGGGACUGAGACACGGCCCAGACUCCUACGGGAGGCAGCAGUGGGGAAUCUUAGACAAUGGGGGCAACCCUGAUCUAGCCAUGCCGCGUGAGUGAUGAAGGCCCUAGGGUUGUAAAGCUCUUUCAGUCGUGAAGAUAAUGACGGUAGCGACAGAAGAAGCCCCGGCUAACUCCGUGCCAGCAGCCGCGGUAAUACGGAGGGGGCUAGCGUUGUUCGGAAUUACUGGGCGUAAAGCGCGCGUANGCGGACUGGAAAGUCAGAGGUGAAAUCCCAGGGCUCAACCUUGGAACUGCCUNUGAAACUAUCAGUCUGGAGUUCGAG
rnacentral:rRNA from 1 species